rnacentral:rRNA from 1 species
GGGCCCGCACAAGCAGCGGAGCGUGUGGUUUAAUUCGAUGCUACACGAAGAACCUUACCAGGGUUUGACAUGCAAGUGGUAGAGAAGCGAAAGCGGAACGACCCUUCGGGGAGCUUGCACAGGUGCUGCAUGGCUGUCGUCAGCUCGUGUCGUGAGAUGUUCGAUUAAGUUCGCUAACGAGCGCAACCCUCGUUGCGUGUUACAAGUGUCACGCGAGACCGCCGGUCUUAAACCGGAGGAAGGUGAGGAUGACGUCAAGUCAGCAUGGCCUUUAUAUCCUGGGCUACACACACGCUACAAUGGCCAGUACAAUAGGUAGCCAAACCGCGAGGUGGAGCCAAUCCUAAAAACUGGCCUCAGUUCAGAUUGCAGGCUGCAACUCGCCUGCAUGAAGAUGGAGUUGCUAGUAACCGCAGGUCAGCUAUACUGCGGUGAAUACGUUCCCGGGCCUU